rnacentral:rRNA from 1 species
GACGGAGGGGGCUAGCGUUGUUCGGAAUUACUGGGCGUAAAGAGCACGUAGGCGGCGGUGCAAGUUGGGGGUGAAAUCCCGGGGCUCAACCCUGGAAUUGCCUCCAAAACUGUGCUGCUUGAGUUCGGAAGAGGAGAGUGGAAUUCCCAGUGUAGAGGUGAAAUUCGUAGAUAUUCGCAAGAACACCAGUGGCGAAGGCGGCUCACUGGCCCGGUACUGACGCUGAGGUGCGAAAGCGUGGGGAGCAAACAGG